GACGGAGGGUGCUAGCGUUGUUCGGAAUUACUUGGCGUAAAGGGCGCGUAGGCGGCCGCCCGCGUCGGAUGUGAAAGCCCGGGGCUCAACCCCGGAACGGCAUCCGAGACGGGGCGGCUGGAGACCGGGAGAGGAGGGUGGAAUAGCCAGUGUAGAGGUGAAAUUCGUAGAUAUUGGCUGGAACACCGGUGGCGAAAGCGGCUCUCUGGCCCGGUUCUGACGCUGAGGCGCGAAAGCGUGGGGAGCAAACAGG
rnacentral:rRNA from 1 species